rnacentral:rRNA from 1 species
UUAUGGCUCAGGAUGAACGCAGCGACAGGCUUAACACAUGCAAGUCGAGGGGCAGCAUAAAAGUAGCAAUACUUGGUGGCGACCGGCGCACGGGUGAGUAACGCGUAUGCAACCUACCUAUCAGAGGGGAAUAACCCGGCGAAAGUCGGACUAAUACCGCAUAAAACAGGGGCACCGCAUGGUGAUAUUUGUUAAAGAGAUUCGCUGAUAGAUGGGCAUGCGUUCCAUUAGGUAGUUGGUGAGGUAACGGCUCACCAAGCCGACGAUGGAUAGGGGAACUGAGAGGUUGGUCCCCCACACUGGUACUGAGACACGGACCAGACUCCUACGGGAGGCAGCAGUGAGGAAUAUUGGUCAAUGGGCGAGAGCCUGAACCAGCCAAGUCGCCGUGAAGGAAGAAGGAUCUAUGGUUCGUAAACUUCUUUUGCAGGGGAAUAAAGUGCAGGACGUGUCCUGUUUUGUAUGUACCCUGAGAAUAAGGAUCGGCUAACUCCGUGCCAGCCGCGGC